CGCGACACAAUUUAUGUGCUGUUAUAGCUAAAUUAAAUGAAGAUUUCAUGCUGUGGAGUCAUGUUUGGGUUCAGAUCGACUUUACCAGCUACUGGCCUGUUUUUUUUCAUGGAUAAUCUGGGAUUAAAUAGAGCCAUUCAGUAGAAAUAAAAUUAGUUUAGUUGGUUCAGGUUUCCUCCUGUAGUAAGAAUAGAUCAACAAUUUCUGAC